GCAUGUCUGAGAACCGCCGAGGGUCUGGGAGCGGGCGUCUGCAGGGGAUUUCACAGCGCUGGGGCUGCCCAGCGUUCGGGAUGGACUCUCUGCCUGGCCGUGAGGCCCUGAUGACCGACCCUGGCAGCUCGGGCCCCUCCUGUCCUGUCAUUCCGAAGUGCUUGCAUCUACUUCUCCUUUCAAAUUCAACACAGCAUGUUUGAAAAUCCCGCCUGCCAGUUUCUGCCUGGUCAGAUGUCAAAGACGCAAGACUCAAACUCCUGAAGAUUUGACAUAAUAUGUGCCCAUUGAUCAGGGAUCAGAGACCACAGAGCGCAGAUUACUGGCUGUUAAUGGAAUCCUGUAAUGCAGCAACAGAUCAGAAUCCCGUUAUGGAGUGAAAUGGAAAGAGCCGUAGUGAGAACGCGUAUUUUCUUCCCAGUCAGAUGGGAUUCUCCAGUCAACAGACUUACUAAAAACUCCUGCUCAUCCCAAUGGCUAUCCUUCUACCUGUUGGCCUGCCUUGAAUGUCUGUUGAAACAGAUGUGUCUUGGACCAUUCCCAGACAGAUCAACAGCCUGUGGUCCCAAAGA